rnacentral:lncRNA from 1 species
AUCAUGCUCGUCAUUUUACUGAGUCUACAGCUCUGUGGCUUGAGUGCAGUCACAUUUUACACCUCAGAAAUCUUUCAGACAGCCAGCCUGCAGGAAAGCAUAAUCCCAUAUGUAUCUCUAGGAGUUGCAGUUUCUGAGGUCAUCUCUCUCAUCUUCUGUAGCUCCAUUAUCGAUCGCUUUGGACGCCGGAUACUCCUGUGGGGUGGUUACUUGCUCAUGGCACUGAUACUCUUGCUGCUUGAAAUAAGCCUUCUGCUGAGUGUAAGUAAAUGUCUCUCUGGGAGCGGAGCUGUGUCAGAACUCUUUGUGCAGGGUGGCAAAUAGUCAUCCUUAGCUU